rnacentral:rRNA from 1 species
UGCCAGACUCCUACGGGAGGCAGCAGUGGGGAAUAUUGCACAAUGGGGGAAACCCUGAUGCAGCGACGCCGCGUGAGUGAAGAAGUAUUUCGGUACGUAAAGCUCUAUCAGCAGGGAAGAAAAAAAGUCCUUUAGACUUUGGACGGUACCUGACCAAGAAGCCCCGGCUAACUACGUGCCAGCAGCCGCGGUAAUACGUAGGGGGCAAGCGUUAUCCGGAUUUACUGGGUGUAAAGGGAGCGUAGACGGCGACGCAAGUCUGAAGUGAAAUGCCAGUGCUCAACACUGGAACUGCUUUGGAAACUGUGUAGCUAGAGUGCAGGAGAGGUAAGUGGAAUUCCUAGUGUAGCGGUGAAAUGCGUAGAUAUUAGGAGGAACACCAGUGGCGAAGGCGGCUUACUGGACUGUAACUGACGUUGAGGCUCGAAGGCGUGGGGAGCAAACAGGAUUAGAUACCCGAGUA